rnacentral:piRNA from 1 species
UCUUCUUCAAAAGGUGCUGAUCUAGGUGU